CUGCCUAACUGUACAUGCAAUGAGAACAUACAGUGCCAAGGGGAUCUGAGAUAAUUGCCCUUCUAGCCUGCACUCUGACCCUGGUCAAGUGUCUUCACCUCUGUGCCUUGUGUUAGCCUGCUCAGAUUUCAAAACUUCCAGGCUCUCCCCUUGUGUUUGACGCAGUGCCUUGAACAGCUGCAAUCCCACUGAUAAUAACCUGGUGGUGAGGUUUUUAGCAAUGCCCCUCAGCCCUGACUGAGUAAGCCAAGCCCCGUAUAACCUCAUUCUCCUUGAAAUGUUUUGUUUUGUACAGCUCUUUCUGUAAAAUAACUCCUUGUUGUGGCAUCAGAGACCUGAAAAAUCUGACUCCAGAUUCAGGAGUUCCAGAAGCUGAAUCCCUCAAAUCCUGAUGAUCUACUUCAUCGUGUCUUGGAAGCCAGGCCACGUUUCUUUGCUAGAGACUUAAUUUGUCUCGCAGCACUGUCUUCGCCAUAUACCGAAAGUCUGUUUUGAGAAAAAAAAUGUGGCAAUAUAAUAUGAACACACAGAGGCUCCUAAAGCUGUCCUUCCUUAAGGUCUCCUAAAAAUUGUACAUGUUUAGCAAAGGGAGGGAGGGGGAGUUUCAUGAGCUG
rnacentral:lncRNA from 1 species